CGGGUGGUAGCUCAGCCUGGUAGAGCACCGCGUUUGGGACGCGGCGGUCGGAGGUUCGAUUCCUCUCCACCCGA
rnacentral:tRNA from 1 species